rnacentral:rRNA from 1 species
AAGGAUCAUUAUCGUACCA